rnacentral:rRNA from 1 species
AUUGAACGCUGGCGGCAGGCCUAACACAUGCAGGUCGAGCGGAUGAAGGGAGCUUGCUCCUGGAUUCAGCGGCGGACGGGUGAGUAAUGCCUAGGAAUCUGCCUGGUAGUGGGGGAUAACGUCCGGAAACGGGCGCUAAUACCGCAUACGUCCUGAGGGAGAAAGUGGGGGAUCUUCGGACCUCACGCUAUCAGAUGAGCCUAGGUCGGAUUAGCUAGUUGGUGGGGUAAAGGCCUACCAAGGCGACGAUCCGUAACUGGUCUGAGAGGAUGAUCAGUCACACUGGAACUGAGACACGGUCCAGACUCCUACGGAGGCAGCAGUGGGGAAUAUUGGACAAAGGGCGAAAGCCUGAUCCAGCCAUGCCGCGUGUGUGAAGAAGGUCUUCGGAUUGUAAAGCACUUUAAGUUGGGAGGAAGGGCAGUAAGUUAAUACCUUGCUGUUUUGACGUUACCAACAGAAUAAGCACCGGCUAACUUCGUG